rnacentral:rRNA from 2 species
CACCUCUUGUUACACAAAAUAUAAGAGGCCCCGCCUGCCCUGUGACAAUAAGUUUAACGGCCGCGGUAUUUUAACCGUGCGAAGGUAGCGUAAUCACUUGUCUUUUAAAUGGAGACCAGUAUGAAUGGCAUCACGAGGGCUUAACUGUCUCCCCUCUCCAGUCAAUGAAAUUGACCUUCCCGUGCAGAGGCGGGAAUAUUAAUAUAAGACGAGAAGACCCUGUGGAGCUUUAGACCUAAAAUAAACCACGUCUAGUAUACUGAAAUACCAGCAAAAGCCUAGUGGUUACAUAUUGAAGUGUCUUUGGUUGGGGCGACCGCGGGGUAAAACACAACCCCCUUGUGGACUGGGGAUAUUAUCCCUAAUACUCAGAGCCUCUACUCCAAGUAACAGAAAUUCUGACUUUCUGAUCCGGUAUUACCGAUCAACGAACCGAGUUACCCCAGGGAUAACAGCGCAAUCCCCUCUCAGAGCCCUUAUCGACGAGGGGGUUUACGACCUCGAUGUUGGAUCAGGACAUCCUAAUGGUGCAGCCGCUAUUAAGGGUUCGUUUGUUCAACGAUUAAAGUCCU